UUGGAGGGCAAGUCUGGUGCCAGCAGCCGCGGUAAUUCCAGCUCCAAUAGCGUAUAUUAAAGUUGCUGCAGUUAAAAAGCUCGUAGUUGAAUUUCGGGACCAUCAUGUCGGUCGUGCCUCGGUACGUACUGGUAUUGUUGGUUUCUCCCUUCUGACGAACCAUGAUGACAUUUAUUUGGUGUUGUGGGGAAUCAGGACUGUUACUUUGAAAAAAUUAGAGUGUUUAAAACAGGCUCACGCUUGAAUACAUUAGCAUGGAAUAAUGAAAUAGGACGUUUGAUUCUAUUUUGUUGGUUUCUAGGAUCGACGUAAUGAUUAAUAGGGAUAGUUGGGGGCAUUAGUAUUCAAUUGUCAGAGGUGAAAUUCUUGGAUUUAUUGAAGACUAACUACUGCGAAAGCAUUUGCCAAGGAUGUUUUCAUUAAUCAAGAACGAAAGUUAGGGGAUCGAAGACGAUCAGAUACCGUCGUAGUCUUAAUCAUAAACUAUGCCGACUAGGGUUCGGAUGAUGUUAAUUUUUUAAUGACUCAUUCGGCGCCUUACGGGAAAC
rnacentral:rRNA from 1 species